rnacentral:lncRNA from 1 species
AAAGCUCCAGAAAAUUUGACAUGGCCACUGUCGUAUACACAUUUGGAAACAGUGUGUACAUAUAUGUAGAAUAAAACCACAAUUGCUCAAACAGUGUAAUUUCUCGCAUGCGAGCACAGGCGCAAGCAUCAGACUUAGUUCAGAAACAGUUGGAAAAUAAAUAGUGAUAACCACAGGUUGGCCAAAGUACAAGCAGAAUCAUCAGCUAAAAUAAAUGUCGUCCAACAGUCACGCUUGAAAGAUCGAGCAUUAGCGCAGAUGGGAAAUCACAACAUGGUUCCUUCUGGAUGACACAGGGCCUCAAACUCGUUUGCACAUCCUGUUAAGAAUCAUCUACUCCAAUCAAUAUCUACAAUUACAGUUCACACGGUACUACAAGUACAUGUACCAGGAAUUAGCAAGAUGACUCCAGGACAUGUACGCUAGAUCAAUAUUGUUGAUUCUAAAAGCGUUGUUAGAACAUGGAUUGCAACAAGAAAAAAAAAGGCAUGAAUAAGAUGAACUAGUAAUGCUAUGAGAAAAUUCAAUUGGAUAUCAAAGUGCAGUUUCAUUAAGAUCAACAAAGUGAACCAGAAGAAAACACAGCAGAUAUAAUCUAUCUCCAGGCACGUCCGCUAACUCCCUGUUAACCAUUCUUUCACAUGCAAGUCAUAACAUUCAUGCACAAAACUUACUUUAAAGCUUCAAGGACAUAUAGAUACUCUUUACAAAUCAAGGAUGGGAACAACAAGCACAUCUCUUUUCCUGAUUACUAGUCUAAUAAAAGCUGCAAUUGGGGGAAAUUGACAAAAGGAAAGAAACAUAGUGCAUGGAUAAUCGAAUAGUAGUCAUACCCCCAGAAGGAUGAAGCCAAGUGUUGAGAUGAUUAGAUGAUUCUGCAUCAUAACAUAGUAUUCAAGCCUGAAUUUCAGAGAAUUUCAUAAGGAGCAUAGUCCUGCAUGCAAAAGUAAAAAAGAUCAUCAAUAGAAUUUCAGAGACAAAAAGUACCAACUACCAAGGGAGUACUCGUAAGGAAUAAUACAUUAAUACUUAAUGGGAUUGGAUUUGUAAAUGUUGGAUUUAAGCUGGGAAAUGAUGGCAUAGGCUAGAAUUAACCAAAGCUAAAAACAAGUUGCAGUUGAUUCGUGCAGGCAUAAACAGAAGGGAAAAUGAUGUAAAGUAUAGAGGUGCGGCAAAUAAAACAAAUGACACAGCUCGAUCACAUAAAAAAUAGUUCUAGUAAGUCUAGUAUGUAUGAACUAUGAAGCAGAUCUUAAAACUCAUUAAACAAUUUUUCUUCUGGGGAAUUAACUGCAGUAGAACAAAGCAAAGCUUGCAGCAGUGAAAGAUAUGUUCAGCAAAUUUGAUUUGGCUAUUCUGCUGAUGUUUCACUUGUAGAAGUACCAUAUUACCAGAGCAUAGCUCUGGAAGAUUCGGUCUUAUUUUCCUGUUGGCAGGGUCUGCUAUUUCUUUUAUCUAAUGAUGAAGCAAUCGCCCCAUUCUGCAAGAAACACACCAAUGUCAUGGUUAGUGCAGAGUUGUGGGCGCGGACGAAAGAAAGGAAUGAGUGUGCACAUAAUUUUCGCACACAAGAACCAGAGGCAAAUGUGAUCGAAAAAUUUCACGAGCACGCCAAUGAAUAUUCACAUAAAAACGUGUGGUAAUAGGAACAAUAAGAUCCAACUAGUUUUGAGGAACUGAUGGCCCUAAACUGACAACAAAUUUGAGCAACCAGCAAGCAGUAGCACACCUAUCUGUGUUCCGCCUGCUACCACUGAGCUCGAGCCGACGACUGUGAUUUCUUCAUAUAAAAGUACUAACUAUCAUGUGGAAACGUUUAUAAAAAUGAAUUGGGGAAAAGUACGAUUAGAUUGGAAGAACGGUUAUACUCAUGGAUAAGGGAAGAAGAGAACAUACCCUUCAUAGUUGAAUCGCGGAAGACCGUCAACUCCUGUACCUCUAUAGAAUCGACGCCCCGGACGACGACAUCGGACAUAGACGAGCCAUCGCUGCCAAAUAAAUCAACGCGCACAGUCGAUUCAGAGGAACACAGGGCGAGAUUAAGCUUCUAUGCCGUAGAUCCUUACCCAGGUACAUGAGAGGGAGGAGAGAGAGAGAGAGAGAGAGAUAUGACACCGGGCACAUUUUUCCAACCCUAGCUCCCACCUGCUCCCAUGGAUUACGGCGGCACGGGAGAGAAGAGAAGGCAGAGGAAGGGAAACGAUGAGAGAGAGGACGAGUACAGAAUUCUGAGCCACUUUAAGGUUAAAUC